UACGUAGGGUGCGAGCGUUGUCCGGAAUUAUUGGGCGUAAAGAGCUCGUAGGCGGUGUGUCGCGUCGGCCGUGAAAACCUGGGGCUCAACUCCGGGCGUGCGGUGGAUACUGCCGGGCUAGAGGGUGGUAGAGGCGAGUGGAAUUCCCGGUGUAGCGGUGAAAUGCGCAGAUAUCGGGAGGAACACCAGUAGCGAAGGCGGCUCGCUGGGCCAUUCCCGACGCUGAGACGCGAAAGCUAGGGGAGCGAACAGG
rnacentral:rRNA from 1 species